rnacentral:lncRNA from 1 species
AUGAAAUUAGAGAAUUAGAUACCACAAAGAUAAGAAACCUGACUCAAAAAACAUUAUAUAAUAAACCCACCAAUAUACAAGUUCCAAUUCACCUCUCAACACUCGAACACUAGAGCUCACCAACAACUCUGAUCAUUGCAAAAUGGCAACCUCAACAAUGGCUCUCUCCUCAUCAUUCGUCGGCAAGGCUGUGAACCUCGCCCCUUCAGGCAAUGAGCUGAGCAAUGGUGGCCGCAUCUCCAUGCGUAAAACCGGGAGCAAGUCUGUUUCUUCAGGCAGCCCGUGGUACGGCCCGGACAGAGUCAAGUACUUGGGCCCAUUCUCUGGCGAGCCCCCAAGCUACUUGACCGGUGAGUUCCCUGGCGACUACGGUUGGGACACAGCCGGGCUUUCAGCUGACCCAGAAACCUUUGCCAAGAACCGUGAACUCGAAGUCAUCCACUGCAGAUGGGCCAUGUUGGGAGCUCUUGGAUGCGUCUUCCCGGAGCUCUUGGCCCGCAACGGAGUCAAGUUCGGUGAGGCCGUGUGGUUCAAGGCGGGAGCUCAGAUCUUCAGCGAGGGCGGGCUUGACUACUUGGGAAACCCAAGCUUGAUCCACGCCCAGAGCAUCUUGGCCAUCUGGGCUUGCCAGGUGGUCUUGAUGGGAGCUGUUGAGGGUUACAGAAUUGCUGGAGGGCCGCUCGGUGAAGUGACCGACCCAUUGUACCCAGGUGGCAGCUUUGAUCCAUUGGGUUUGGCUGAUGACCCGGAGGCUUUUGCUGAGCUCAAGGUUAAGGAAAUCAAGAAUGGAAGGUUGGCUAUGUUCUCCAUGUUUGGUUUCUUUGUUCAGGCCAUUGUCACCGGCAAGGGACCGUUAGAGAACUUGGCCGACCACUUGGCUGACCCUGUCAAUAACAAUGCCUGGGCCUACGCCACCAACUUUGUCCCCGGAAAGUGAGCUUCGGUUGAUAAGAGUUUUUCUCUUUUCGGUUUCUUGGAUAUCAUGUAAAUCUGUUGUGAGCUCAUGGAAGCUUUAAUUUGAGUUGUGAUUAUUUAUAAAAUGCUUCAAUUUGAUCUUGUUCUGCUUUUUAUUCUUUCUUUUUUUUUUCGGUGCUUGUGAAAUCAAUGGUGAUAACGCGAAAGAGAAUCGCAAGAUUAAAAAAAAAAAAAAACCGAGGAAGGUACCACUCGUGACCUUUUUUUAAAUCAGUAAGUGUCCUUAGAGGCGAUUUUGAAGGGUAACGGGCUUCAGGUGAUAGAGAUUUCCGGAAAAAUAAAGAAUUUAGGGAAAGUCAUAAACAGAAAACGAUAAGUUACACAACAGAAACAAUACAUUUGCUAAUAAACAGUGAGUUAUCCAGUACAUGUUGCUAUAUCUCACUCAUGAUUGAGAGAAGCAUGUAUGCUGUACAUAAUUUUACAUCAAUGACUCUCUUCCUUUUUUUACUAAGUACAUCAAUGAAUCUUUGUAUCUGUAUAAAAGUAUAAAUCUAGCUCCUCAGUGAAAGUAAGAAUUCCAUGAGAAUCAUAAUUUAAUAAACUGCAACCUAGGUUUUCAUUUACCCAAAAAAAAAAAAGAAAGAUGGCCUGUAAAAUAUGGCUGAGGUGUGAAGUAGAUAGAACCCACUAAUGCAGCUUCUACAUCCAAUAAAAAAAUCUGAAACCUCUGAUCAGCAUCUGAAACCAUUGCUUCACCUGCUGCAUGUAAUGACCAAACCAACAACUGUCUGUCUGCUGGUGGGAUUUGCAUGGAAAAUCUGUAUGAGACGCUGAGGGUAAACUAUUCUACAGGGCAGCUAGCUUAAGCACGACUUGCAGCUGCCCUUGCUCUGGCCACAGAUUUUGCAUAAAGAUCCUCAUACUGUGAUGCCGAAAAUUCCCAACUCCAAUCUAUACUCAUGACCUUUUGAACAAGCUCAUGCCAACUCUCUGGGUUGUUUUUGUAGCGACUAAUUGCACGCUCCAAACCACCAUUGACUCCCUGUCAAGUUUCAACAAUUUUAGGAAAAAUUAGAAUGACAAACAACCCAGGAGCAAUAUGAUCAAUUGCAAUUGGACAAGAACAAACAUGAUAGAAGAAAUAUGAUACACUAGUGGCCAAAGAACCAAAAAACAAAAAAAUCCAAUGCCACUUUUAUAUAAAUUAAUAAGCAUUCCAUUUACCUGUUCAUCAGGAUUCAAAAAAGUAUAUCCAUUUCUGAACUGGAGAGGUAUUGUGUCAUCAUCAACAUCAAAUACACUAUAGAAGAAAAUUUGUGAAAGUUAAGAAUUCUCCAAUUAGUAUAGCUUAUAUACCUGAUAUCAGUCAAUCAGUGAUUUACCUGUCGUUCAGACCUCCAGUUUUCCUUGCAACAGGUAUAGUACCAUAUCUCAUUGCUAUCAUCUGCAGAAAAUCAUUAAAUGUUUAAGACAAAUAUAAUAAUAAUAAUAUGAACAAUUGAAAUUUGUUAUUUAGAUUCACACUUGAUUCAUAUGCUUGCAACACAGAGGCAUUUGGCUAAUAUCUAGAUUACUGCAUUAAGUAGAACCACAGAUCUUAAGCUAUGUCAUCUAUACAGAGGUAAAUUUCAACAAAAUAAGCUUUCUUUUCAAGGUUUCAAUAUUCUGUAGGAGGUAUAAGCUUUAGCCACAUCCAUCUAUUUCUUCAUUUCUUACGACUGAAUUCACUGUUCAAGAAGAAUUACCUGUGUAAGGCCACAAGGCUCAAAGAUAGAUGGGAUAAUGAAAAUGUCUGAUGCAGCAUAAAUGGAGUGGGAAAUAGACUCAUCGUACUUCAAUAUCAGCCGAAUGUGAUCAUGAUUUUGAAAAUGAUUUGCAAUGCCCUCGAAUUCUCUCUACAGAGAAAAUAAUUAUCAUUUAAAGAAGUAAAGGUCCCUAAUCAGUUCACUGAAAUCACAAGCGUCAGCACAUUGAAUGAUAAAGUUGAAAGUAAGGAAGACUUUAAUUCAGCUCAAAAUGGAAACCAGUAGCUACAAUCAGAAAGAUCAAAGCAGCCAUCAGCUGGCAGUACAACCAAGCAAUAACUACUAAAAGUUACAAAUAAUGAAUAUAUCACAUAUAUUCAAAUCUAAACAUAAGUACAGAACAGUACUAGGAUCAUCAGAUGCCAUCACGAUGCGUAAUCACAAGUAAUCAUAGCAUGAUGCACACCAACACUUUCAAACACAAAAACUAAAGGGAAAAAAUUUGAGAAAUGGGGAAAGAAUGACACUACCACCAGACUUCAAUAUGAUGUAACCAAGGUUCACAAUUGUUGUUUACAGUAAGAUCCCCUCCUUGUCCUAACUUUAUAUAUAAAUUGCAAAUAUUGAAUAUGUGCCGAGUGGUUAAAUAAUAUUUGUAUAAUUAGAAUAAGUUGCCAAGUGGUUAUAACUAUUCUCUCACAAUUGUGAGAGUAGUAGUUUGAACUCCCCUAAAAAUAUUGUGGAAAUUUAAUUUUUUUUAAAAAAUUUAGAUAGAAACAUUUUUCUCUCUUUUAUAUAAUAUAAAUUAUAAUUUGAGUAAUAAUAUUGUGUAAUUUUUUUUUAAAAAAAAGAACAUGAUGAGCAACAUUGUUAUUAAACAAUAAUAGAUGGCGUUAUCGGAUGGCAGAAGUGGCAAUGCAUUAUUAGAAGGAGAUACGAUCUCCAAACCCGUGAAUUAGGUGAUGCAUUGUCGUAAAAAUCCGGUGAGUGGUUCUGAGUGUGCCAAGUAGGCAUAGGAAUCACACUUUCAAAAUAUUACCAGCCAAUGGGGAGCGAGAUAUAGAUCUCGUAAGAUAAGGACUCUUUCCUCUAAUCCAUAUUUAUACAAAGCCCACCAAGCCCAUCCACCACACCCAGCAGCUGCUCUUGCUUGCACAACUUCUGCUUCUGAAUUAAAUUCCGCAAUGGCCACCUCAACAAUGGCUCUCUCCUCAUCAUUCGUCGGCAAGGCUGUGAACCUUGCCCCUUCAGGCAAUGAGCUGGGCAAUGGUGGCCGCAUCUCCAUGCGUAAAACCGCGAGCAAGUCUGUUUCUUCAGGUAGCCCGUGGUACGGCCCGGACAGAGUCAAGUACUUGGGCCCAUUCUCUGGCGAGCCCCCAAGCUACUUGACCGGUGAGUUCCCUGGCGACUACGGUUGGGACACAGCCGGGCUUUCAGCUGACCCAGAAAC